rnacentral:rRNA from 1 species
UACGGAGGGUGCAAACGUUGCUCGGAAUCAUUGGGCGUAAAGCGCACGUAGGCGGCGUGAUAAGUUGGGUGUGAAAGCCCUGGGCUCAACCCAGGAAGUGCAUUCAAAACUGUCUCGCUUGAAUCUCGGAGGGGGUCAGAGAAUUCCCGGUGUAGAGGUGAAAUUCGUAGAUAUCGGGAGGAAUACCAGUGGCGAAGGCGCUGACCUGGACGAAGAUUGACGCUGAGGUGCGAAAGCGCGGGGAGCAAACAGG